UCAAACAAGUUCAGUACGGUGCCAGAAAGUUCUUAACAAGAGCAGUCUAGGUGCUGCGGUGUGGUCGAAAUCCUGACUGGAAAAAAACAUCACAACAACUGUUUAGAGCCAAGAAGCUGUCGGAAAAACAGCCUUUUCAGUGACUUCAAAUGGGAGGUUUGAUACGGGUCUGUAAUUGUUCAUUAGUGAGUUGUCUCGAUCAUUCUUUUUUAACAGUGGCUUAAUAAUUGCAGUUUUCAGGGCCUGUGGGAAAUAGCCUGAGAGUAGAGGAGUGUUGACUAUUUGUUGAAGAUCUGAUGCAAUGCAGUUAAAAUAACAAGCAUGUAGGCAGAAUAUCAAGGCAGCAGGAGGAGGAUUUCAAAUGAUGCACAAUUUCUUCCAAGGUUUUAUAGCUGCUAGGGUCAAAUUGUGUCAUGCUAAUUGAAUUGGUUUUUAAGUGGACGCAGGGACAAUACAGACCCUUUACCUGAUGAGGAGGAACUGUCUAAUUUUCAGAUUUUUUUUCUCAAUAAUGUCAGAGACGGACUGCUGAACUUAUGAUUUGAGCAUAUUUUUUAUGCUAAAUGCAGUACCUCUGACAGAGCAUGGUGAUGGUGAGAGGGAUCUGGGGACAAUCCAGCCAGACGAAGAGGAUAAAAGGCGAGGAGAGCGAAAAUGAGACAAUACCGGUGACUACAAACCUGCAAAAAGCCAAGAGAUGACCCCCUUUGAGGAGCUUUUUGCAGAGGAUGAUGAACUGAAGAGGAAGAUGGUCUCUAGUCUAAUAUUUUUUGUUACAUUUUUCCAUGAUUUAUUUAAAUAGUUUUGGUUUGUAAUUGUUUUUUGUUGAUCAUACCUUAUGGGAAAGUAAUAUUUAUUUUUAUAAAUGGAAAAAACACCUCCCUGUCACAGUUGACAGUUUAUAGUGAUUACAGCCUAAAUGUGCCAGGAACAGGUAGGCUAAUUUUCGUUAUUGAAAUAGUUUUUUUUUCUCUCCAAAUUGUUUUCGAUAAGAUAAGAACCGGACUCGAUAAGCAGAAUUGGUAUCACUAAAAUGUAAAUGAUGCCCAACACUAUUAACAUUACAUCCAGUUAGUUUGUUAGAGGUGAAGGAGACUAAGGCUUGCUGGCCUUAGGCCUUCACUAUACGUCUCAUCAGCCCGGGCAGGAGAAGGCUGUUCUCUCUUUUAGUCGUCUUCAUUAUCAGAAGGGUUGGUGUUACAGAAUACAGAAUUACAGAAAGUGCUUGGUUGGGGUUGGAGGCAGACGCCGUGGCAGUGACCAGAGGGUGAAUCUAGCGCCAGUGUUAACCAGCACCUCCGUUUUAUCAGUGUGAACCUUCUGUUCUCCAGCAUCACGUUACCACAGAGUGUGUUCUUUUUAUCCUUCACUUGAGAAGGCCAACUCAAAAAGAGUCUUUAACACCGAUGA